rnacentral:rRNA from 1 species
AUUGAACGCUGGCGGCAGGCCUAACACAUGCAAGUCGAACGGUAACAGGAAGCAGAUUGCUGCAUUGCUGAGGAGUGGGGGACGGGUUAGCAAUGUCUGGGAAACUGCCUGGUGGAGGGGGGUAACAAACGGAAACGGUAGCUAAUACCGCAUAACGUCGCAAGAACAAAGAGGGGGACUUUAGGGCCUCUUGUCAUAGGGUAUGCCCCGAUGGGAUUAGCUAGUAGGUGGGGUAACGGCUGACCUAGGCGACGAUCUCUAGCUGGUCUGAGAGGAUGACCAGCCACACUGGAACUGAGACACGGUCCAGACUCCUACGGGAGGCAGCAGUGGGGAAUAUUGCACAAUGGGCGCAAGCCUGAUGCAGCCAUGCCGCGUGUAUGAAGAAGGCCUUCGGGUUGUAAAGUACUUUCAGCGGGGAGGAAGGGAGUAAAGUUAAUACCUUUGCUCAUUGACGUUACCCGCAGAAGAAGCACCGGCUAACUCCGUG